rnacentral:rRNA from 1 species
AUUGAACGCUGGCGGCAGGCCUAACACAUGCAAGUCGAGCGAGCGGCGGACGGGUGAGUAAUGUCAGGGAAACUGCCUGUUGGCGGGGGAUAACUACUGGAAACGGUAGCUAAUACCGCAUACCAUCAGAUGUGCCCAGAUGGGAUUAGCUAGUAGGUGGGGUAACGUCUCACCUAGGCGACGAUCCCUAGCUGGUCUGAGAGGAUGACCAGCCACACUGGAACUGAGACACGGUCCAGACUCCUACGGGAGGCAGCAGUGGGGAAUAUUGCACAAUGGGCGCAAGCCUGAUGCAGCCAUGCCGCGUGUGUGAAGAAGGCCUUCGGGUUGUAAAGCACUUUCAGCGGGGAGGCGUUACCCGCAGAAGAAGCACCGGCUAACUCCGUGCCAGCAGCCGCGGUAAUUC